GCUAAACAAACCUGGAGAUAGCUGGCUCUCCCCGAAAUGCCUUUAGGGACAGCCUUGCGCAAAACCCGCGGAGGUAAAGCACUGGCUGGUGGCGGGGGCGUCAAAGCCUACCAACACCUGCCAAACUCUGAAUGCCGCGGGUCAACGCGCAGGAGUGAGACCAUGUGCGCCAAGGUUCAUGGUCGAGAGGGAAACAGCCCGGACCGUCGGCUAAGGUCCCAAAGUCAUGCUGAGUGUGAAAUGAGGUCCGGAUGCGCGGACAGCCAGGAGGUUGGCUCAGAAGCAGCCAUUCCUUGAAAGAGUGCGUAACAGCUCACUGGUCGAGCAUCCGGGCGCAGACAAUGUAACGGGGCUAAGCAUGGCACCGAAGCCGCGGGGGCAAAGCGAUUUCAGUUUUGCCCGGUAGGGGAGCAUUCCAUGGACCUGCGAAGGCGUACCUGCGAGGGGCGCUGGAGGGGAUGGAAGAGAGAAUGCAGGCAUGAGUAACGAAAAGACGGGUGAGAUCCCCGUCCGCCGAAAACCUAAGGUUUCCGGGGUAAAGGCAAUCUUCCCCGGGUAAGUCGGCCCCUAAGGCGAGGAGGAAACCCGUAGCCGAUGGGAACCCGGUUCAUAAUCCGGGACCUGUCAUGUUGCGAUGCCGUGACGCAUGAGGUGAAGUCCGGCCGGAGAACGGUAGUUCCGGUCGAAGCUGCAAGUCUGCGAGGGAGGGGUUAAAUGACCUUCUGAGAUGAGCGGUGACAGCGAGGCGAGGGAAGCUGAGCCGAAGCGGACGUAGCCACGGUGACAAGAAACAGCGGCUAGCAUAGGCAUGACGGACCGUACCGUAGACGGACACACGUGGGUGGGAUGAGCAAUCUAAGGCGCUCGAGCGAACUCGCGUCAAGGAACUCGGCAAAAUGCGCACGUAACUUCGGGAGAAGUGCGGCUCCGGUUUGAAAGGACACGGAGCGGCAGAAAGCGGGCCCAGGCGACUGUUUAUCAAAAACACAGCCAUCUGCGAACCAGCAAUGGGACGUAUAGGUGGUGACACCUGCCCGGUGCCGGAAGGUUAAGGGGAGAGGUCAGCGGCGACGCGAAGCUUCGAACCGAAGCCCCGGUAAACGGCGGCCGUAACUAUAACGGUCCUAAGGUAGCGAAAUUCCUUGUCGGGUAAGUUCCGACCCGCACGAAUGGUGCAACGAUUCUGGGCGCUGUCUCGACGCGAGACUCGGUGAAAUUUAUGUUCCGGUAAAGAAGCCGGAUACUCGAAAUUAGACGGAAAGACCCCGUGAACCUUCACCGCAACCUAGCGCUGGGACCCUAUCCGCCAUGUGUAGGAUAGCUGGGAGCCUAAGAGGCGUGGCCGUCAGGCUGCGCGGAGGCGCCGGUGAAAUACCAGCCCUGGCGGAUGGGGUUUCUAACCCGGACCCUGAAGCGGGCCCGGGGACAGGGCUAGGCGGGCGGUUUGACUGGGGCGGUCGCCUCCCAAAGGGUAACGGAGGUGCGCGAAGGUCCCCUCGCGAUGAUUGGAAACCAUCGUGCGAGCGCAAAGGCACAAGGGGGCUUGACUGCGAGACGGACACGUCGGGCAGGUGCGAAAGCAGGUCUUAGUGAUCUGGCGGUGCCGUGUGGAAGGGCCGUCACUUAACGGACAAAAGGUACUCCGGGGAUAACAGGCUGAUUUUCCCCAAGAGUUCACAUCGACGGGAAAGUUUGGCACCUCGAUGUCGGCUCAUCGCAUCCUGGGGCUGGAGCAGGUCCCAAGGGUUUGGCUGUUCGCCAAUUAAAGCGGUACGUGAGCUGGGUUCAGAACGUCGCGAGACAGUUCGGUCCCUAUCUGUUUUGAGCGUCGGAAGUCUGAGAGGGGCCGCCUUUAGUACGAGAGGACCGAGGCGGACGGACCUCUGGUUUGCCGGUUGUCCCGCCAGGGGCAUAUGCCGGGUAUCCACGUCCGGGAGGGAUAACCGCUGAAAGCAUCUAAGCGGGAAGCCCACCUCAAGAUUAGACCUCCCAGGGGACUUCGGUCCCCCCGAAGGCUCCGGAGACACCAUCCGGUCGAUAGGCUGCAGGUGCAAGCGCGGCGACGCGCUCAGCCGAGCAGUACUAAUAAGCCGCGAGGCUUGACCAU
rnacentral:rRNA from 1 species